UACGUAGGGUGCGAGCGUUGUCCGGAAUUAUUGGGCGUAAAGGGCUCGUAGGCGGUUUGUCGCGUCGGGAGUGAAAAUCCAGGGCUUAACUCUGGACUGGCUUCCGAUACGGGCAGACUAGAGGUAUGCAGGGGAGAACGGAAUUCCUGGUGUAGCGGUGAAAUGCGUAGAUAUCGAGAGGAACACCUGCGGCGAAGGCGGGUUGCUGGGCUGACACUGACGCUGAUGCGCGAAAGCCAGGGGAGCGAACGGG
rnacentral:rRNA from 1 species